UGGGGCGUCGCCAAGUGGUAAGGCAGCGGUUUUUGGUGCCGCCAUUCCUAGGUUCGAAUCCUAGCGCCCCAGCCA
rnacentral:tRNA from 1 species